rnacentral:rRNA from 1 species
AUUGAACGCUGGCGGCAGGCCUAACACAUGCAAGUCGAGCGGAUGACGGGAGCUUGCUCCUUGAUUCAGCGGCGGACGGGUGAGUAAUACCUAGGAAUCUGCCUGAUAGUGGGGGACAACGUUUCGAAAGGAACGCUAAUACCGCAUACGUCCUACGGGAGAAAGAAGGGGAGCUUCGGGCCUCGCGCUAUCAGACGAGCCUAGGUCGGAUUAGCUAGUUGGUGAGGUAAUGGCUCACGAAGGCGACGAUCCGUAACUGGUCUGAGAGGAUGAUCAGUCACACUGGAACUGAGACACGGUCCAGACUCCUACGGGGGGCAGCAGUUGGGAAUAUUGGACAAUGGGCGAAAGCCUGAUCCAGCCAUGCCGCGUGUGUGAAGAAGGUCUUCGGAUUGUAAAGCACUUUAAGUUGGGAGGAAGGGCAGUAAGCUAAUACCUUGCUGUUUUGACGUUACCGACAGAAUAAGCACCGGCUAACUCUGUGCCAGCAGCCGCCGCAGUAA